GACGAACGCUAGCGGCGUGCUUAACACAUGCAAGUCGAACGGAAAGGCCCUGCUUUUGUGGGGUGCUCGAGUGGCGAACGGGUGAGAACACGUGAGUAACCUGCCCUUGACUUUGGGAUAACUUCAGGAAACUGGGGCUAAUACCGGAUAGGAGCUCCUGCUGCAUGGUGGGGGGUGGAAAGUUUCGGCGGUUGGGGAUGGACUCGCGGCUUAUCAGCUUGUUGGUGGGGUAGUGGCUUACCAAGGCUUUGACGGGUAGCCGGCCUGAGAGGGUGACCGGCCACAUUGGGACUGAGAUACGGCCCAGACUCCUACGGGAGGCAGCAGUGGGGAAUAUUGCACAAUGGGCGGAAGCCUGAUGCAGCAACGCCGCGUGCGGGAUGACGGCCUUCGGGUUGUAAACCGCUUUCGCCUGUGACGAAGCGUGAGUGACGGUAAUGGGUAAAGAAGCACCGGCUAACUACGUG
rnacentral:rRNA from 1 species